rnacentral:lncRNA from 1 species
CAGGUCGGGGCACAGCGUGAGGACGAGCGCCCUGCGAGGUGAGGGCGGUCCGCCGGCAGGACCAGCAGGCGGAGAGAGGGCCGCGGGCGGGCUGGCCCGUGUGCACGCGGGGUGGCGACUCGGCCGGCGCCGGGCAGGCAGAGCGGCGCGCGCGCGGCUGGCCGAGAGAAGGCACGGUUCCAAACCCCUGUGAGAGCUCCGGCGGGUCCGUGGUCAAGCUCGGGCUCCACUGGAGUUCGAUCGCGGGGAAUGUGGACGGAUACCCCGGAGCUCCCUGCAGCUCGGUCCAGGCCUGUGCAUUCAUGAGUGAGGAACCUGAGCUGGAGCUGAGCAUCCUGACAGCAAGAGCAGGGGCUGGUCAGUGUCAGAGACUCCACCGUGAAUAAUUACCAAGGAACUCUGUGACCAGCUAUGAGAUGGUGACAUGAAGGGAAGAUGAAGGCCCUGACCCUCGCUCUGAGGAGAGACCUGCCAGCCCUCAGCACGGGGCAGGAGCAGAGCAGCAGUGUGGAGGUGGAGCUGGGAUGGGGGGUGCCCUGAGCAUGCCCAGUGGUCACAGCACCUAAUGAGGGAAGUGUUGGCACCACAGUGCUACCAGGCCAGGGGAUUCAGCACCUGAGAGGUCUGACCCUCAGGAGAGCAGGAAAUUCCUAAUGUCACCUAGGGCUCUGUGGCAGAGCUAGACACCCCAAGCCAGUGUCCCCAAGGGGAGUGUGGCCCCUCCAUAGAUCCUCAGUCUCGCACCUGGGCCUCCAUGCUCCUUCUGCAGUUCCUGUGAGCCAGCAACCUCUGCUUACCCCUCAGUGCUUCAGAACUGGUGAUCCCAGCCUUCACCCUUCUCCACAGCCCAUGACACCCCUUUGGGGCACCCCACACUUACUGUGUCUGACACUGAGUUCCCUCUCCUCCUGACCCCUGAGCCUGAGGCGUCCUGGCCCCUUCUCCAUCCAGACUCCCUCCCAAACAGCUCUCAGACCUCUCCCCUCAUGAGGUUCCCGGGCCUGGCCCCAGCAUGGGCCUGGUGCCACUCCCUUGGCCCACCACACUCACCUGCUCCAC